GUGAGUAGUGAAUCUACUUCCUCCAGAUGUUACACAGGUGAUAUUAACACUGCAGUAGAUUAUUUACUCACCUGUAGAUUAUUGUUUCAUUUAAUAAACACACAAACUAUCACUUAUUGAAUAUAAACUCCUCCCUGAUACACUACACUCGUCUAUACUGAAAUACUGUGUGUGUGUGUGUGUGUGUGUGUGUGUGUGUGUGAGUAUUAUGUCCCACAACCCUAUAUUCCCAUAGAAACAGCACGCCAACCCUGAGUUCCCAGGCCAAAAUUGCCCCCAAAAUCAACAUUUUAAUUUGAACAUUUUUAGGCCUUGAAACAACUUAUAAUAAAGUAUUUGUGUAAUAUUACUUUUAAAAUGAAGCAGUUCAGUGUUUAUACUCCACUUGGAGCACAAUUCUUAACUAGAGAAAUGAUGAAAAAUGCUCGCUGAAAUCCUUCUACUCCUUUAGAAGUACCAUACAAGCAUCAGCGUGGUCAGUGCCUUUGAAUAAAUUCAAGUAAAUAAUAAUAAACAAAUAAAUAAAUGCAUUUUAGCGCAAAAGUCAAGUUUCUGGUGAUAAUCAGAGCAGCAGGUGGUGUUUUCACGAAUGCACAGAGAUGGUCAGGUUCUGACUCCAGACCCCUGCAGUGUCAGUCGCACUGGUUGAUGCUGAAGAUGAAGACGGAUCAGGGUCUGAAUCAGGAGAGUUUGCGUCUCUGUCAGUUUCGGUUUCAACAUCGCCUGAACUUUCACUGCUGUCACUAUCUAGAAUCCUCGCUCUCGCCUGUGUGACUGUGUAUGUUUUCUUUUUCACUGUUUUAGAUGUACCCGUGUUCACUGUAGGUGUAACUUUAGCUGGAACACGAUUAGCUUUUCGCUUUGGCAUUUUUAGUUCACUUCUACUAGUACACCAAUGUUCACGCUUGGAUCUUCAUCGUAAUGACGGCGUAAUAACGUAAUCACGCCGUGACGUCGUGACGUCAUCAACCUUCCGGGUCAAAAAAUAAUACUUAAAUAAGUAAGGAAUCAUAGCAGAGUGAUGCCGGUACUCCGGCCUUACGGGGAUAACGUUUACACUGUAAAUCCUCUAUAUCGGCCUUACGGGGCUUUGGCAUAGACGACCAAGCCGGUAUAUCGUCCUUACGGGAAUAGAUCAAAGACGGAUGAGACGGUUUUUUCGGCCUUACGGGGUUAGAGGGUUAACGGGAGAUAAAAUUCACCAUCAUGUCAGACAGAAGUGAUGAUACUCAGGUUUCUGUUAGAUCCUAAAACUACACUGUUUGGUGCUAUGAGGUGGUUAUGAGGUUAUGGGGUUAUGAGGAGGAGAGAGUGAGCGACUGACAGCACUUCCGGUGUGUGUUAGUGGGGUUUCUUUACACUGUACUGAUUAUACCAUUACUUUUGUCGGAUUUUGCUUAAGUCUCAAGCUGGUGGGCGGAGUUUUUUCAGGCAGUUUAUGGGCGGGGUUUGAGGGGUGUGACGUCACUGCAUAACGCAAACGAGCUAGUUAACCAGGAUGGACGUCCGUUCAGCAACAUCCUAAAAGUCUGAAAGCCUCCAUAAGUGAGAAGUAAACCCUAGCAGUGCUUUUACUGCCCUUCUGUCCUGUGAACAUCCUGAAGUUUCAGCUGCUUUAUCUUUCUCUCCUGGUGCUGUCACUGUGUUCCUCUCCUUCUCCAGAACACAGCAUUAACACCAACACCAACAGGAACCUGCUGGAGAAACACCUUCCUCAGUUCAGCUCCUAACCACUAGCUUAUAGCCCACAUCAGUAUUUAUGGAGUGAAGCUGGCUCCGUGUGAUGGAACUGUGCUAGUAGGAAUGCAGUAA
ensembl:lncRNA